rnacentral:rRNA from 1 species
GAUGAACGCUAGCGGCAGGCUUAACACAUGCAAGUCGAGGGGUAUAGUUCUUCGGAACUAGAGACCGGCGCACGGGUGCGUAACGCGUAUGCAAUCUACCUUUUGCAGAGGACAGCCCAGAGAAAUUUGGAUUAAUACCUCAUGGUAUGUGAGAAUGGCAUCAUUUUCACAUUAAAGUCACAACGGCAAAAGAUGAGCAUGCGUCCCAUUAGCUUGUUGGUAAGGUAACGGCUUACCAAGGCAACGAUGGGUAGGGGUACUGAGAGGGAGAUCCCCCACACUGGUACUGAGACACGGAACAGACGCCUACGGGAGGCAGCAGUGAGGAAUAUUGGACAAUGGGCGCAAGCCUGAUCCAGCCAUGCCGCGUGCAGGAUGACGGUCCUAUGGAUUGUAAACUGCUUUUGUACAGGAAGAAACACUGGUUCGUGAACCAGCUUGACGGUACUGUAAGAAUAAGGAUCGGCUAACUCCGUGCCAGCCGCCGCCGUAACAC